rnacentral:tRNA from 1 species
AAGGGUGUAGCUCAGUGGUAGAGCAUAUGCUUAGCAUGCACGAGGUCCUGGGUUCAUUCCCCAGUACCUCCA